rnacentral:rRNA from 1 species
UACGAAGGGGGCUAGCGUUGUUCGGAAUCACUGGGCGUAAAGGGUGCGUAGGCGGAUUCUUAAGUCAGGGGUGAAAUCCCGAGGCUCAACCUCGGAACUGCCUUUGAUACUGGGGAUCUUGAGUCCGGAAGAGGUGAGUGGAACUGCGAGUGUAGAGGUGAAAUUCGUAGAUAUUCGCAAGAACACCAGUGGCGAAGGCGGCUCACUGGUCCGGAACUGACGCUGAGGCACGACAGCGUGGGGAGCAAACAGG